AUACUUACCUGGCAGGGGAGAUAUCAUGAUCAUGAGGGUGGUUUUCCCAGGAUGAGGCUUAUCCAUUGCACUCCAGAUAUGCAGACCCUUGCAAUUUCCCCAAAGGUGGGAAACUCAACUGCAUAAUUUGUGGUAGUGGAGGACUGUCUUCAUGCUCUCCUCUG
rnacentral:snRNA from 1 species